rnacentral:rRNA from 1 species
UCUCUGGGCCGAUACUGACGCUGAGGAGCGAAAGCGUGGGGAGCGAACAGGAUUAGAUACCCUGGUAGUCCACGCCGUAAACGGUGGGCGCUAGGUGUGGGGGNCAUUCCACGGUCUCUGUGCCGCAGCUAACGCAUUAAGCGCCCCGCCUGGGGAGUACGGCCGCAAGGCUAAAACUCAAAGGAAUUGACGGGGGNCCGCACAAGCGGCGGANCAUGUGGAUUAAUUCGAUGCAACGCGAAGAACCUUACCUGGGUUUGACAUGCACUAGANGCGUCUAGAGNUA